rnacentral:rRNA from 1 species
AACGAUGCCGACUCGGGAUUGGCGGGUGUUUAUUCGAUGACUCCGCCAGCACCGUAUGAGAAAUCAAAGUUUUUGGGUUCCGGGGGGAGUAUGGUCGCAAGGCUGAAACUUAAAGGAAUUGACGGAAGGGCACCACCAGGCGUGGAGCCUGCGGCUCAAUUUGACUCAACACGGGAAAACUUACCAGGUCCAGACGUAGGAAGGAUUGACAGAUUGAUAGCUCUUUCUUGAUUCUUAUGGGUGGUGGUGCAUGGCCGUUCUUAGUUGGUGGGUUGCCUUGUCAGGUUGAUUCCGGUAACGAACGAGACCUCAGCCUGCUAAAUAGUCACGGCUGCAUCCGCAGCUGGCAAACUUCUUAGAGGGACUGUUGGCGACUAGCCAACGGAAGUAUGAGGCAAUAACAGGUCUGUGAUGCCCUUAGAUGUUCUGGGCCGCACGCGCGCUACACUGAUACGUUCAACAAGUUCCUUGGCUCGAAAGGUCUGGGUAAUCUUUGAAACCGUAUCGUGAUGGGGAUAGAACAUUGCAACUAUUGUUCUUCAACGAGGAAUGCCUAGUAAUCGCGAGUCAUCAUCUCGCGUUGAUUACGUCCCUGCCCUUUGUACACACCGCCCGUCGCUCCUACCGAUUGGAUGUGCUGGUGAAGACUUCGGAUCGGCCACGCUAACUAGGUCUUCCUAGUUGUGGGGUUGAGAAGUUGUUUAAACCCUCCCAUUUAGAGGAAGGAGAAGUCGUAACAANAGUUUCCCGUAGGUGAAC